AGUGAACGCUGGCGGUAGGCCUAACACAUGCAAGUCGAACGGCAGCACAGUAAAGCCUGCCUUUUCGGGGGGGGAGGGGGGGGAGGGGGGGGGAUACCACGGAAUCUUCUUUUUCGGGGGGGGUAAAGGAGGGGAACCUACGGCAAAUCCCCCAACGACCUUCCGGGGAAAACAGGGGGACCUUCGAACUUGCCCGGAUUGAUGAGCCGAUGUCGGAUUAGCUAGUUGGCGGGGUAAAGGCCCACCAAGGCGACGAUCCGUAGCUGGUCUGAGAGGAUGAUCAGCCACACUGGAACUGAGACACGGUCCAGACUCCUACGGGAGGCAGCAGUGGGGAAUAUUGGACAAUGGGCGCAAGCCUGAUCCAGCCAUACCGCGUGGGUGAAGAAGGCCUUCGGGUUGUAAAGCCCUUUUGUUGGGAAAGAAAAGCAGCAGGUUAAUACCCCGCUGUUCUGACGGUACCCAAAGAAUAAGCACCGGCUAACUUCGUG
rnacentral:rRNA from 1 species